AGAUGAGGGCGAUCUGGCUGAGACAUCUGUCAUCCCAUUGACCACCAGAGUUGAUUUGGCUGAUCUGGCUGGCUAGGUGGGUGUCCCCUUCUUCCUCACUACUCAGUGUGUCUCUCCGAAGCUGUAUGCUCAGCUGAAGAGGAUGACCUUCUCCCGUAGAGGGAGGACCAUUCUUAGGUCAAGGGUCUAUGAGUAGGGCGGCUCCCUGCUAGAAUCUUCAAACAAACUCUCAGGGUCCAUUUAUAGGAGAGCCUAGGCUAGUCAAGCUUCCAAGACUCCAGACACAUCAAAUGAGUGUGCCGCUUAUGGCAGUCUACCUUUCUUU
rnacentral:snRNA from 1 species